UACGGAGGGUGCAAGCGUUACUCGGAUUUAUUGGGCGUAAAGGGCAGGUAGGUGGUCUUAUUUGUCUGAGGUGAAAGCCUUGAGCUUAACUCAAGAAGUGCCUCAGAAACGGUAAGACUAGAGUUCUAGAGAGGGUCGUGGAAUUCCCGGUGUAGCGGUGAAAUGCGCAGAUAUCGGGAAGAACACCCGUGGCGAAGGCGGCUCUCUGGGACGGUACUGACGCUGAGACGCGAAAGCGUGGGGAGCGAACAGG
rnacentral:rRNA from 1 species